rnacentral:rRNA from 1 species
GACGAACGCUGGCGGCAUGCCUAAUACAUGCAAGUCGAGCGGAGUUGAUGGGAAGCUUGCUUUCCUGAUACUUAGCGGCGGACGGGUGAGUAACACGUAGGCAACCUGCCCUCAAGCUUGGGACAACUACCGGAAACGGUAGCUAAUACCGAAUACUUGUUUUCUUCGCCUGAAGAGAACUGGAACGACGGAGCAAUCUGUCACUUGGGGACGGGCCUGGGGCGCAUUAGCUAGUUGGUGAGGUAACGGCUCACCAAGGCGACGAUGCGUAGCCGACCUGAGAGGGUGAUCGGCCACACUGGGACUGAGACACGGCCCAGACUCCUACGGGAGGCAGCAGUAGGGAAUCUUCCGCAAUGGGCGAAAGCCUGACGGAGCAAUGCCGCGUGAGUGAUGAAGGUUUUCGGAUCGUAAAGCUCUGUUGCCAGGGAAGAACGCUUGGGAGAGUAACUGCUCCCAAGGUGACGGUACCUGAGAAGAAAGCCCCGGCUAACUACGUGCCAGCAGCCGCAGUAA